rnacentral:rRNA from 1 species
UACGUAGGGCGCAAGCGUUGUCCGGAAUUAUUGGGCGUAAAGAGCUCGUAGGUGGCUUGUCGCGUCUGCCGUGAAAGCCCAUGGCUUAACUGUGGGUCUGCGGUGGAUACGGGCUGGCUAGAGUGUGGUAGGGGAGAUCGGAAUUCCUGGUGUAGCGGUGAAAUGCGCAGAUAUCGGGGAGGAACACCAACGGCGAAGGCAGCUCUCUGGGACGUUACUGACGCUGAGACGCGAAAGCGUGGGGAGCAAACAGG